rnacentral:rRNA from 1 species
UAGGGAAUCUUCGGCAAUGGACGGAAGUCUGACCGAGCAACGCCGCGUGAGUGAAGAAGGUUUUCGGAUCGUAAAGCUCUGUUGUAAGAGAAGAACGAGUGUGAGAGUGGAAAACUCACACUGUGACGGUACUUAACCAGAAAGGGACGGCUAACUACGUGCCAGCAGCCGCGGUAAUACGUAGGUCCCGAGCGUUGUCCGGAUUUAUUGGGCGUAAAGCGAGCGCAGGCGGUUAGAUAAGUCUGAAGUUAAAGGCAGUGGCUCAACCAUUGUAGGCUUUGGAAACUGUUUAACUUGAGUGCAGAAGGGGAGAGUGGAAUUCCAUGUGUAGCGGUGAAAUGCGUAGAUAUAUGGAGGAACACCGGUGGCGAAAGCGGCUCUCUGGUCUGUAACUGACGCUGAGGCUCGAAAGCGUGGGGAGCGAACAGGAUUAGAUACCCUGGUAGUCCACGCCGUAAACGAUGAGUGCUAGGUAUUAGGUCCUUUCCGGGACUUAGUGCCGCAGCUAACGCAUUAAGCACUCCGCCUGGGGAGUACGACCGCAAGGUUG